GGGGGCGACCUUCACCCUCGCCCGAGUACCCAUUGGAGGGCAAGUCUGGUGCCAGCAGCCGCGGUAAUUCCAGCUCCAAUAGCGUAUAUUAAACUUGUUGCAGUUAAAAAGCUCGUAGUUGAAUCUCACGUCCCCCGCAGUGUUCUUCACUAGGCGGACGCCUCGUUACUUUGAGAAAAUUAGAGUGUUUCAAGCAGGUUUCGCCUGUAUAAUUGAG
rnacentral:rRNA from 1 species